UACGUAGGGUGCGAGCGUUGUCCGGAAUUACUGGGCGUAAAGAGCUUGUAGGUGGUUUGUCGCGUUGUUCGUGAAAUCUCACGGCUUAACUGUGAGCGUGCGGGCGAUACGGGCAGACUAGAGUACUGCAGGGGAGACUGGAAUUCCUGGUGUAGCGGUGGAAUGCGCAGAUAUCAGGAGGAACACCGGUGGCGAAGGCGGGUCUCUGGGCAGUAACUGACGCUGAGAAGCGGAAGCGUGGGGAGCGAACAGG
rnacentral:rRNA from 1 species